UACGUAGGGGGCUAGCGUUGUCCGGAAUCAUUGGGCGUAAAGCGCGUGUAGGCGGCUCGAUAAGUCUGUUGUGAAAGCCCAGGGCUCAACCCUGGAAUGCCGAUGGAUACUGUCGAGCUAGAGUCCGGAAGAGGCGAGUGGAAUUCCUGGUGUAGCGGUGAAAUGCGUAGAUAUUGGGAGGAACACCAGUGGCGAAGGCGGCUCACUGGACCGGAACUGACGCUGAGGCGCGAAAGCGUGGGGAGCAAACAGG
rnacentral:rRNA from 1 species